GUAGCGUAAUCACUUGUUCUUUAAUUGAGGACUAGUAUGAACGGCCCACGAGGACUACACUGUCUCCUUUUUCUAAUCAGUGAAACUGAUCUCCUCGUGAAGAAGCGAGGAUGAAUUUAUAAGACGAGAAGACCCUAUGGAGCUUUAAACGUUUUAGGUUGGGGUGACCACGGAGAAAAAAUUAACCUCCACGCUGUAAGAAGCCUUCCAUCUUCUAAGCUAAGAGCUACAUCUCUAAGCAUCAACACAUUGACUCCUAUUGACCCAAUAAUUUGAUCAACGAACCAAGUUACCCUAGGGAUAACAGCGCAAUCUACUUUAAGAGCUCAUAUCGA
rnacentral:rRNA from 1 species